CGCGUAGGAAUCUACCUAUGGGAGGGGGAUACCAACUGGAAACGGUUGUUAAUACCGCAUAAUACCUAAGGGUUAAAGGUGGCUUUCGGGCUGCCGUCCAUGGAUGAGCCUGCGUUGGAUUAGCUAGUUGGUGGGGUAAGGGCCCACCAAGGCUACGAUCCAUAGCUGAUUUGAGAGGAUGAUCAGCCACAUUGGGACUGAGACACGGCCCAAACUCCUACGGGAGGCAGCAGUGGGGAAUAUUGGACAAUGGGGGAAACCCUGAUCCAGCAAUGCCAUGUGUGUGAAGAAGGCUCUAGGGUUGUAAAGCACUUUAGUUGGGGAGGAAGGUCAAUAUGUUAAUAGCAUUUUGAAUUGACGUUACCCAAAGAAUAAGCACCGGCUAACUCCGUG
rnacentral:rRNA from 1 species